rnacentral:rRNA from 1 species
AACGAACGCUGGCGGCAUGCCUAACACAUGCAAGUCGAACGAGACCUUCGGGUCUAGUGGCGCACGGGUGCGUAACGCGUGGGAACCUGCCCUUAGGUUCGGAAUAACUCCCCGAAAGGGGUGCUCAUACCGGAUAAUGUCUUCGGACCAAAGAUUUAUCGCCUUUGGAUGGGCCCGCGUUGGAUUAGCUAGUUGGUAGGGUAAAAGCCUACCAAGGCGACGAUCCAUAGCUGGUCUGAGAGGAUGAUCAGCCACACUGGGACUGAGACACGGCCCAGACUCCUACGGGAGGCAGCAGUGGGGAAUAUUGGACAAUGGGCGAAAGCCUGAUCCAGCAAUGCCGCGGGAGUGAUGAAGGCCUUAGGGUUGUAAAGCUCUUUUACCCGGGAUGAUAAUGACAGUACCGGGAGAAUAAGCUCCGGCUAACUCCGUG